UUUAUUUCAUUUGCAGAUUAAGCCCAAACCUCAAGUCCAAACUUUAGCACACCUGUUAGAAACUCACGAUUAGCUUUCUCUCUUCCGUCUUCCUCUUGAGCAGCGACAUCCACGAUGAAAUCCCACAAAAGCUUUAAGUGACGUUCCGAUCUAUUCAUUGAGUUCCGAAGCGAGGAAGAUGUGUUGACUAUGAAUUAAGAUUGAUAACAUAAACAAGCUCCAUGGGAAACCUAUUCAUCUAAACAAGAUACCUUUGUUCCUAUAUCUUUCGUUAUUAAGCAUACUAUUUAUUUACUACGAAUUUUUUAUGAACUUUUUUAGCAAAAAAAAAAAAAUGUUUCUGGGAACUUGGAUUCUUGCGAGUUUUGGUGCAAAGACAUGUUUAAUUGCUCCUCUUAGAAGUUUUCUAAUAUAUAUUUUUUUCUCCUGUUGUAAUUGAAUUAGGGCUCUCAAGAUAGGAAGAUCUUUGAUCUCGGUACUAAUAUUUUCAUUGAAAACCUUGACCCUGAUGUGGAUGAAAAGAUCGUGUAUGAUACUUUCAGCACAAUUGGUGUCAUUGCUUAUAAUCCUAAGAUAAUUUGAAGUUUACAGAUACCCGUUCUUGGCUCUAAGUUGUCCCCGGGGUCUCUGAAGCUGUUACCCUUGCCCAGUGAUCUCCCAAAGCUACACUCACCACUUAGGCUCGGACUUAAUAAACGAUUCACUCUCUUGGAAGCAAGACUCUGUUGAAAUUUACAUGGAAUCACCAAGAUGCCAUUUUGUGUUGCUCUUUAAAGCCUCAACCAGUGGUUAUAUUCGCGAACAUGCUAGAGACAACGCUUGUAUCCUUACAAGACAUUGCACUGGAAAACAUCUUUGAUGAAUCUGGUCGAAUGGCUCUCUGCUCUGACUUUGCCAAGCUAAUGCAACAGGGAUUUGCGUGCUUGCCUUCAGGAACCUGUUUGUCUACAAUGGGGAGACAUGUCACUUAUGAACAAGUUGUUUCUUGGAAAGUGCUUGCUGCAUCCAAAACGACAACAAUAAUAAUUUGCAUUGUCUUGCUUUCUCCUUUGUAAACUGGUCGUUUGUGUUGUCUCAUCUCUUAUGAGUGUAUUAGUAAAAGCUAAUCAAAUUUACAUUACAGACAACACUCUUUUUGUUGUUGUUGUUGUGUAAGUGUCUGUCUCUGUUUUGAUCAAAUUUGCAUUAUAAUCUCAUUUUUAUUUAAGCCUUUAA